GUGAGGAAUAUUGGUCAAUGGGCGAGAGCCUGAACCAGCCAAGUCGCGUGAAGGAAGAAGGAUCUAUGGUUCGUAAACUUCUUUUGCAGGGGAAUAAAGUGCAGGACGUGUCCUGUUUUGUAUGUACCCUGAGAAUAAGGAUCGGCUAACUCCGUGCCAGCAACCGCGGUAAUACGGAGGAUCCGAGCGUUAUCCGGAGUUAUUGGGUUUAAAGGGUGCGUAGGUGGUUUUAUAAGUCAGCGGUGAAAGUUUGCAGCUUAACUGUAAAAAUGCCGUUGAAACUGUCGGACUUGAGUGUAAAUGAGGUAGGCGGAAUGCGUGGUGUAGCGGUGAAAUGCAUAGAUAUCACGCAGAACUCCGAUUGCGAAGGCAGCUUACUAAGCUACAACUGACACUGAAGCACGAAAGCGUGGGGAUCAAACAGGAUUAGAAACCCCUGUAGUCC
rnacentral:rRNA from 1 species